GUCCCACCUCAUUUAUAAAAAUUAAAUCAUAAAUGAAAAUAGAACCAAAAUCUUUAAAUCAUUAAUUAAAUCAACUUAUUCAAAUUGGUAGCAACAUGCCAGGUAGUCACGAGAAUCAUGUUUCAUGGUAUGUUUAUGCUGCAUUUUUUUGCUUUUACAGGUUCUAAAUGUGCAGAUUGUUACACUCUGCUCAGCCUUACUUCAGUUCUAAUCACAGGGAAUUCCCAUUUUAUCGCUAACCUUGCAACAUUAAUAACACUAUAUAUACUUGUGUAAAAAAAAAAAAAACAAACAUGUAAAACUACUGCAUACUUUUAUAAAAUGGAGAAAAACACUUAUACUCCUAAGCCACUUCAUCGUAACUAAAACACAC
rnacentral:lncRNA from 1 species